AUGCACGCUGGCGGCGUGCCUCAUACCUGCCAGUCGCGCGAACAGACGAGGAGCUUGCUCCUCUGACGUUAGCGGCGGACGGGUGAGUAACACGUGGAUAACCUACCUAUAAGACUGGGAUAACUUCGGGAAACCGGAGCUAAUACCGGAUAAUAUAUUGAACCGCAUGGUUCAAUAGUGAAAGACGGUUUUGCUGUCACUUAUAGAUGGAUCCGCGCCGCAUUAGCUAGUUGGUAAGGUAACGGCUUACCAAGGCAACGAUGCGUAGCCGACCUGAGAGGGUGAUCGGCCACACUGGAACUGAGACACGGUCCAGACUCCUACGGGAGGCAGCAGUAGGGAAUCUUCCGCAAUGGGCGAAAGCCUGACGGAGCAACGCCGCGUGAGUGAUGAAGGUCUUCGGAUCGUAAAACUCUGUUAUCAGGGAAGAACAAAUGUGUAAGUAACUAUGCACGUCUUGACGGUACCUAAUCAGAAAGCCACGGCUAACUACGUG
rnacentral:rRNA from 1 species